rnacentral:rRNA from 1 species
CGGGCCCGCCGCUUGUCGGCCGCCGGGGGGGCGCCUCUGCCCCCCGGGCCCGUGCCCGCCGGAGACCCCAACACGAACACUGUCUGAAAGCGUGCAGUCUGAGUUGAUUGAAUGCAAUCAGUUAAAACUUUCAACAAUGGAUCUCUUGGUUCCGGCAUCAAUGAAGAACGCAGCGAAAUGCGAUAACUAAUGUGAAUUGCAGAAUUCAGUGAAUCAUCGAGUCUUUGAACGCACAUUGCGCCCCCUGGUAUUCCGGGGGGCAUGCCUGUCCGAGCGUCAUUGCUGCCCUCAAGCCCGGCUUGUGUGUUGGGUCGCCGUCCCCCUCUCCGGGGGGACGGGCCCGAAAGGCAGCGGCGGCACCGCGUCCGAUCCUCGAGCGUAUGGGGCUUUGUCACAUGCUCUGUAGGAUUGGCCGGCGCCUGCCGACGUUUUCCAACCAUUCUUUCCAGGUUGACCUCGGAUCAGGUAGGGAUACCCGCUGAACUUAAGCAUAUCAAUA